rnacentral:rRNA from 1 species
GACGAACGCUGGCGGCGUGCUUAACACAUGCAAGUCGAACGGAAAGGCCCUGCUUUUGUGGGGUGCUCGAGUGGCGAACGGGUGAGUAACACGUGAGUAACCUGCCCUUGACUUUGGUAUAACUUCAGGAAACUGGGGCUAAUACCGGAUAGGAUCUCCUGCUGCAUGGUGGGGGUUGGAAAGUUUCGGCGGUUGGGGAUGGACUCGCGGCUUAUCAGCUUGUUGGUGGGGUAGUGGCUUACCAAGGCUUUGACGGGUAGCCGGCCUGAGAGGGUGACCGGCCACAUUGGGACUGAGAUACGGCCCAGACUCCUACGGGAGGCAGCAGUGGGGAAUAUUGCACAAUGGGAGGAAGCCUGAUGCAGCAACGCCGCGUGCGGGAUGACGGCCUUCGGGUUGUAAACCGCUUUAGCCUGUGACGAAGCGUGAGUGACGGUAAUGGGUAAAGAAGCACCGGCUAACUACGUG